rnacentral:rRNA from 1 species
AUGGACGCCGCCUGGGCCGCGGCGCGCGUGGCCGACCCCAACCCCAACCCCGGAGGUGACAUCCACCGGCUCCGCUCCCGCCUGCAAGGCCUUCACCUCGUCCUCUCCACCGCCCGGGAGCGCGUGCCCAGGGCGCGCAGCGAGGCCCUGCUCGGCUCCCUGCGCCGCCUCCACGGGCUCGCCAGUGACGCCGACAACCUGCUCGACGAAAUGCUCUACCACCAGAUCCACCGCCAGCUCCAUCCGGAUGUGGGGAGCGACACUUCCUCGUCGUCGUCGGUCGUCCAGUCGGUGGUCUCCAUGAUAUCUGGAGAUGACGUUCGUGAGGCGCUCAAGAUGGAAAAGCUUGACGCUGUUGUCACCUACGCAGGUCUGAAUGCUGGUAUGGAUCACCGCAGCCCAACAACAGCUUUUGUUACAAAGCCGAAGAUAUUUGGGAGAGAUGCUGUGAAGGAGCGCAUUGUGCAGACGCUGAUGAGUGCUGAGGCUUGUGGUGUUGAUUGUUGGGGCUGGAAAGCAACAAUGCGCUGCACAAAUUCACCGACACGGCAAAUAUACACACUACAUAGCCCUCUCCAUUUGUGA